rnacentral:rRNA from 1 species
UAUGUUGAAACACUCUUUCCUGUAUGAUCACUGAAGUUAAGCAAUGUCAAGCCUGGUCAGUACCUAGAUGGGUGACUUCUGGAGAAUACCAGGUGCUGUAAG